AAUGCUGGCGUCUGCUCCUCCGUCUCCCAGAAUCCUGCCCUGGAAAAAACCAGCGCCAACCGCCGGUUUAACUGAGGACGGAUUUAAGGCAUUACGAAAGACAGCUUUCCCCUUUGCUCGGCUCUCCUUCUCUCUCCUGCUGCCCUGUGAAGAGGUGUCUUCUGCCAUAAUUGAAGAGGAAGACAGAGCUCUUACCAGGGGGAGGCAGAGAUGGCACAGCAAGAGACAUGCCCCCAGAAUGCCACCAAUGCCCCAGGACAGGCCCACCCAUGGGACCAGGUUAUCGGGAUAACCUGGGAGGAUGGGGUGGAAUCUGAGGGGUGAGCCUUCUUCCCCAGGCUGGAAGUGGGCGACACGAGACUGGCACCUCUACAUCUGAUUGUCCCCCAAACCCAGCAUUUAUGUCGUGAGCAAAGAAAGAAAUCAUGUUACUUCUUCC
rnacentral:lncRNA from 1 species